GAGAGACUUGUCAUGGAGGGAUAGAAUAGGAUCGCGGAGGUCAAUGUGGAAGGGAAGGACAGCGUCAAAGGCCUUAUAGGUAGGAUUAGAGGAGGAGGAGGAGAAGAGGUUAGGAGAAAAGGAAGGGAGAAUGAGAGAGAGCACUCAUAGGUGAGCUUAAAGGAGGAGAAAAAUGAGGAGAAGAAGUUGGUGAGAAGAAAGGAGUGGAUAGAUAAAGAAAGACUGCCGAUCAAGAAAGACAAAGGUGGACAAAGCCAUCAUCGAGGAGGAUGGGCCAUAAGUGGGCUUGGAGGAAGAGGAGGAGGAAAAGUGGGUAAAGAGAAAGAGGAGAGGAAAGGAAGGGUUGUGGGUGAGCUUUGAGGAGAAAAAAGUGGAUGAAGAGAAAUGGUAGGAGGAGAAAGAGAGGUCAUCGAUGAGGAAGGGGUGACGAUGGUGGAAACCACCAUGAAAAGCGAUAUGGACAGGCUUGGAAGAGGAGGAGAAGUGUGAGAGGAGAAAGGAGAGGAAGGAGAAGGAGAGUUCGCUAGCAAGAUGGAUGGAGAUGAAAGGAGCCAC
rnacentral:lncRNA from 1 species